CAGCCGCCGCGGUAAUACGGAGGGGGCUAGCGUUGUUCGGAAUUACUGGGCGUAAAGCGCACGUAGGCGGCUUGGUAAGUUAGAGGUGAAAGCCCGGAGCUCAACUCCGGAAUUGCCUUUAAGACUGCCGAGCUAGUAGGUGAGAGAGGUAAGUGGAAUUCCGAAUGUAGAGGUGAAAUUCGUAGAUAUUCGGAAGAACACCAGUGGCGAAGGCGGCUUACUGGCUCAUUCUAGACGCUGAGGUGCGAAAGCGUGGGGAGCAAACAGGAUUAGAUACCCCCGUAGUCCCUGUCUCUUAUAU
rnacentral:rRNA from 1 species